rnacentral:rRNA from 1 species
CAAUAGCUCAUAUUAAAGUUGUUGCAGUUAAAAAGCUCGUAGUUGCAAUGAUGGCCUCGGGACUUCGGGUUGCUCAUUGCGACCGGAUUUUCCGUGGUCGGCCUUGGCUCGUUCAGGGCUCUGAUACUUUGAGAAAAAUUGAGUGUUCCAGGCGGACUUGUGUUGGAAUAGUGUACCAUGGAAUAUCGGAAAUGGAGGGUCAUUCCAUUUCUUUGGUUUGAGAAUGACACUCUCAGAUUAACAGGAACGGUCGGGGCAUUCGGAUUGAACAGUCAGAGGUGAAAUUCUUAGAUUUGUUUAAGACGAACAAAUGCGAAAGCAUCUGCCUAGGACGUUUCCAUUAA